rnacentral:rRNA from 1 species
CAGCCGCCACGGUAAUACGGAGGGAGCUAGCGUUGUUCGGAAUUACUGGGCGUAAAGCGCGCGUAGGCGGUUACUCAAGUCAGAGGUGAAAGCCCGGGGCUCAACCCCGGAACUGCCUUUGAAACUAGGUGACUAGAAUCUUGGAGAGGUCAGUGGAAUUCCGAGUGUAGAGGUGAAAUUCGUAGAUAUUCGGAAGAACACCAGUGGCGAAGGCGACUGACUGGACAAGUAUUGACGCUGAGGUGCGAAAGCGUGGGGAGCAAACAGGAUUAGAGACCCCUGUAGUCCCUGUCUCUUAUAC